rnacentral:rRNA from 1 species
AAGGUAGUGUAGUUAACACCUGCAUUACUUUGACGUUACCUACAGAAGAAGCACCGGCUAACUCCGUGCCAGCAGCCGCGGUAAUACGGAGGGUGCGAGCGUUAAUCGGAAUUACUGGGCGUAAAGCGCAUGCAGGCGGCCUGUUAAGUCAGAUGUGAAAGCCCGGGGCGUUAACCUCGGAAUUGCAUUUGUAAACUGGCAGGCUAGAGUCUUGUAGAGGGGGUAGGAAUUCAGGUGUAGCGGUGAAAUGCGUAGAGAUCUGAAGGAAUACCAGUGGCGAAGGCGGCCCCCUCGGACAAAGACUGACGCUCAGAUGCGAAAGCGUGGGAGCAAACCAGGAUUAGAUACCCUGGUAG